GCUCUCCACCACUGAUGGACCGUGGCCAUUGCUCUUCCCCGGUCACCACGCCGUGUUUCAUCUCUGAGCCUCACUUCCACUACAUCAUGGAACAAUGAUAAAUAGUAACAUAGAACAAUUAUUCUAUGGUUUCAGGGUCAAAAAAUACAAGCGCCUACAUCAUGGAUGAAAAAAGUCAUGGAUAUUGGACAAGCUGGCACAACGCGCAUCCCAAGGACCAUGAAACUAAUGCUUUGGUUCAUGAGCCAGUCCUCAGCGCCUCUUGAUUUUUGGCUUCACUCUGGAUUCUGGAUUCAUCUUUGUUUGACACAUGUACGUGGAAACCCUCUUUCUUGUGUCCAUGGUGGAUGUUUUGUUGUUUUUUCUUUUCGUUACUGCUUGGAGCUGAAAAAGGAUAAAUCAGUUGUUGUUGUUCAUGAUAUGGUCAAGAUCUGGUUCGUGAAACUCUCAAGAAAAAAGGGUUCAUGUUUCAUUGUUCCUGGAUGAUUCAACUGAUUUCUUAAUUAGAUACAUUUUGUUUGUUCAUAAUAGUGACUAUGAUGAACUGGCUCAAUACCAAGAAAAACAAACAGCGGAAACUUCAUAUAAUACUUGUCGCUCUAGCUUAGUCAAACUGUUGUGAAUAACUUGAUCAUCCGCACAAGAAAAAGAUAUAAAAAAACAGAUAUACCAGAAUUUUGGGUAGCGUUAAUUUAAUAAAUAAUUUUUUCAAAAUACUUGAGAUAAAUUUAAGGCAACUUUUGUAAGUUGCCUAGAUAAAUUCAAUAAUCUGAUCCUGUUUCACAAAUUUAUUCAUGCUUCACAGAGUUUCCUCUUGGAUGUUUUUGGAGAACAGGUUAAAAAUCAGAAAGGCACAUGUACUAGUAAACUGGGGUUGCCAAACCGUCUGCGAGAUGGUUCAUACGAAUUUUCCUACAUACAUGUUUGAGGAAGGUUUGCAAACAUGUUUCAUUUAUUUUACUGGACAAAGUUAAUUGACCAUAUACCAAAGCAAAAUCAUUAAAAUAUGAAGUUUCAAUAUAUAUUAUUGAUAAUGUAUUUAGAAAUUAUAUAUAAAUAAAUAACCCUUUUUUUACUGAAUGAAGAAAAAAACUAGAAAUUUGACGGGUAAGAAUGCAACCGUGAGCACAAAAGUAAAGCCAACUAUUCAUGUCUAGACUAGGGAUCUGCUAUUCGAUCUGAAAUAGCUAAGAAUUUAUACAUUUUAUAUAAAGAAAAACUUUUUUCUUGAUGAGAAUAAAAAAAUUCUUAACUUUGGCGGAAAAAAAUGGAACCUUGAGCACAAAAGUAAAGCCAACUGUUCAUGUCUAACAAACUAGGGAUCUGAUAUUCGAUCUGCAAUAGCAAAGAACUGUAAAAGUUAGGCGCGCUUUCCUACAUUGUUGUUGUUUUUAUAUUUUUGUUAAAACAAAUAAUCGAUCUGUUUAAAAAUAUUUGGUUCAUUAGUUUUUUGAAAAUACAAUUUUUUUUAAGUUUGCCCAAAUUUGUAUUGAAACAUGUCAAUAUCCAUAAUAUCAAAUGGGUGUCAUUUGAUUCAUCAUGAUUGUUUUUCAUAUUUUAUUUAUUUAAUAUUACAGAUGUCGAUAUUUUUGGCUCUAAACUUGGCCAUAGUGAAAUAAAUAUGUCUUUUCAAAAAAUUAAAACAAAUUAUAUUUUGGAACUAAGGUGGUAUUUGAUUUGGCGAGUUGGGGAGAUGAUGGAGUGUCUUUUAUAUUUAUUUUACAAUGCGUUAUCUUAUUGGGUCUUUUGUGGUGUGUUUAUAGGUUAUCUACUAAUCAACCAUACUUAUAUGGGAAACAAUUAUGUGUAGGUGGUUGCAUGUACUUUCUCUAUUUUUAUAUACAAGGCCACAAACUGAAAUUACAGGUACCAAGGUCAAAUUUAAUACAUGUUUUACAAUCUAGCUUUUCUUUUUGUUUACUGGAAUCAUUAAUACACUGCAUGUAUGCAAGAACACUGAGUGGAGGAAGUAGUUGAGUGUUAUUAUGACUGUAUGCAUGCAAGUAUUAAACAAGUUGUUAGUUCGUGGAAACAUCAUUAAUUUUUGCCUCGAUUAUUGUUGGUGACCUUGUAUAGAUGCAAAAU
rnacentral:lncRNA from 1 species